rnacentral:misc_RNA from 1 species
UCCGGUUUGUCACCGGCAGUCUCAUUAGAGUGCCCUUUCGUAGCAACUAAUGACAAGGGUUGCGCUCGUUGCGGGACUUAACCCAACAUCUCACGACACGAGCUGACGACAGCCAUGCAGCACCUGUGUUACGGCUCUCUUUCGAGCACCCCCACCUUUCAGCAGGGUUCCGUACAUGUCAAGGGUAGGUAAGGUUUUUCGCGUUGCAUCGAAUUAAUCCACAUCAUCCACCGCUUGUGCGGGUCCCCGUCAAUUCCUUUGAGUUUUAAUCUUGCGACCGUACUCCCCAGGCGGUCUACUUCACGCGUUAGCUGCGUUACCAAGUCAAUUAAGACCCGACAACUAGUAGACAUCGUUUAGGGCGUGGACUAC